rnacentral:rRNA from 1 species
AGAGUUUGAUCCUGGCUCAGGACGAACGCUGGCGGCGUGCCUAACACAUGCAAGUCGAGCGGGGAAGAGGAGAUAGCUUGCUGACUCCUGUUUCUAGCGGCGGACGGGUGAGUAACGCGUGAGCAACCUGCCUUUAUCAGGGGGAUAACGCAUCGAAAGAUGUGCUAAUACCGCGUAAGACCACAGCCUCACAUGGGGCAGGGGUCAAAGGAGCAAUCCGGAUAAAGAUGGGCUCGCGUCCGAUUAGCUAGUUGGUGAGAUAACAGCCCACCAAGGCGACGAUCGGUAGCCGACCUGAGAGGGUGAUCGGCCACAUUGGAACUGAGAGACGGUCCAGACUCCUACGGGAGGCAGCAGUGGGGAAUAUUGGGCAAUGGGCGAAAGCCUGACCCAGCAACGCCGCGUGAGGGAAGAAGGGUUUCGGCUCGUAAACCUCUGUCCUAUGGGACGAAGGAAGUGACGGUACCAUAGGAGGAAGCCCCGGCUAACUACGUGCCAGCAGCCGCGGUAAUACGUAGGGGGCGAGCGUUGUCCGGAAUGAUUGGGCGUAAAGGGCGCGUAGGCGGCCUGCUAAGUCUGAAGUGAAAGUCCUGCUUUCAAGGUGGGAAGUGCUUUGGAUACUGGUGGGCUGGAGUGCAGGAGAGGAAAGCGGAAUUACCGGUGUAGCGGUGAAAUGCGUAGAGAUCGGUAGGAACACCAGUGGCGAAGGCGGCUUUCUGGACUGAAACUGACGCUGAGGCGCGAAAGCGUGGGGAGCAAACAGGAUUAGAUACCCUGGUAGUCCACGCGGUAAACGAUGAAUGCUAGGUGUAGGAGGUAUCGACCCCUUCUGUGCCGCAGUAAACACAAUAAGCAUUCCGCCUGGGGAGUACGGCCGCAAGGUUGAAACUCAAAGGAAUUGACGGGGGCCCGCACAAGCAGCGGAGCAUGUGGUUUAAUUCGAAGCAACGCGAAGAACCUUACCAGGUCUUGACAUCCGUGUAAAGCCGCAGAGAUGCGGUGUGAGCUUGCUCAAUACGAGACAGGUGGUACAUGGUUGUCGUCAGCUCGUGUCGUGAGAUGUUGGGUUAAGUCCCGCAACGAGCGCAACCCUUAUUGUCAGUAGCCAGCAGGUGAAGCUGGGCACUCUGAUGAGACUGCCGGGGAUAACCCGGAGGAAGGUGGGGAUGACGUCAAAUCAUCAUGCCCCUUAUGAGCAGGGCUACACACGUGCUACAAUGGCGUAAACAGAGGGAAGCGAAGGAGUGAUCUGGAGCAAAUCUCAAAAAUAACGUCUCAGUUCGGAUUGUAGUCUGCAACUCGACUACAUGAAGCUGGAAUCGCUAGUAAUCGCAGAUCAGAAUGCUGCGGUGAAUACGUUCCCGGGUCUUGUACACACCGCCCGUCACACCAUGGGAGUCGGUAAUGCCCGAAGUCAGUGACUCAACCAUAAAGGAGAGAGCUGCCGAAGGCAGGACUGGUAACUGGGGUGAAGUCGUAACAAGGUA